GAUGAACGUUGGCGGCGUGCCUAAUACAUGCAAGUCGAGCGAACAGACGAGGAGCUUGCUCCUCUGACGCUAGCGGCGGACGGGUGAGUAACACGUGGAUAACCUACCUAUAAGACUGGGAUAACUUCGGGAAACCGGAGCUAAUACCGGAUAAUAUAUUGAACCGCAUGGUUCAAUAGUGAAAGACGGUUUUGCUGUCACUUAUAGAUGGAUCCGCGCCGCAUUAGCUAGUUGGUAAGGUAACGGCUUACCAAGGCAACGAUGCGUAGCCGACCUGAGAGGGUGAUCGGCCACACUGGAACUGAGACACGGUCCAGACUCCUACGGGAGGCAGCAGUAGGGAAUCUUCCGCAAUGGGCGAAAGCUUGACGGAGCAACGCCGCGUGAGUGAUGAAGGUCUUCGGAUCGUAAAACUCUGUUAUUAGGGAAGAACAAAUGUGUAAGUAACUAUGCACGUCUUGACGGUACCUAAUCAGAAAGCCACGGCUAACUACGUG
rnacentral:rRNA from 1 species